rnacentral:lncRNA from 1 species
AUUUGAUAAAAGAAAAAUGAGAGAAAAAAUAAAUUUUAAAAUGAAAAAUAAAACGUAAACAUGAAGGGCGUACUUUAGGGUAUGUUUCUGCUGUCACAAUAGAGAAAGUGGGCAGCAGUGUGAAGAUCUAAGUCAAUUAGUCUCAGCCAGCCAAGAGCUGUCCCCUGGGAUUCAGGCUCGUUUCUGGCUGCAAGGCCCAAAUUGAGCUGCCUGACUUCCUGCUGAAUUGAACUCUGCAAGGUUCUACUGCAGGUUACAGCUGCCCUUCCCCUGAAAACAGUCCAGGUUGCAAGGGGAAGUGGUGAUCCCUCCAACCUACCAACUAUGGUGAUGUGGUGUGCCUUUAUUGCUGAGAUUUUCUUUGCUUUUCCAGUGGACUUCAAUUUUCAUCCAGGAGCCUCAGAGAGGCCCUGUUUGUUCACUUCUUCUCUAUCUCCGGGAGCUCAGAACAAUGGCCUUUGUGACCACCAGUGCUUCUGUGGUGUGGAUCCAGGUACUGGAGCAGCCCAGAGGCCAGGGGUGUGUAUGUGUCCUGGGAUGGUGCUGCAGGUGCCCGCGCAGCUCAGCUCUUAUGAGGGCAGGGCUGACAAAUUGGUCUUGGGCAAAGAUUUGGGGCCCAGAUUGAGUCACCUGCUCAUGCUAGAACAAUCACUGAAGAAGAUAAGUGUUUUGAUUCAUUGGAUCUACCCAGUGGAAAAUGAGUUUUGUGGGCAAAGUAUUAUAACUUCAUUUAGUAACACCACUGAAGGACAGCACAGAUUUGUGAAGUACAGGAAAUAGCUGGAACAUUUGCAUAUUUAACUUUUAAAAUUUU